rnacentral:sRNA from 1 species
GCUAACCACCGGCUGGCAGGGGAAUUUCGAACUCUCGCAAAGCGACCGCCAUCAGGUUGGGGGCACGGCCAUUGCAAUUCGCGGGCCGGCUGCAACACCGGGCUGAAAAUCCAUAUUCGAUUUUCGGGGGCCGGCCAUGCAGCCUCAAAGCGCUAGAGAGUCCUUCGUGCUUUGUGACGAAGGCGUGGUGCAGCCUUGACGGCUGUCGACACGGUACUGCUUACGGGCGGACCGUGCAGCGAUUCAGGCAUGCGGGCUUGGAGCCUUUAACGGGCGCCGGGCGCGGCCGUUUGCUGCACGCCUCGUUCAAGGACGCUCUAGCCCUUUGA